CCUACGGGAGGCAGCAGUGGGGAAUAUUGCACAAUGGGCGGAACUCUGACGCAGCGACGCCGCGUGUGGGAAGACGGUCCUCUGGAUUGUAAACCACUGUCAUCAGGGACGAAAAUGACGGUACCUGGGCAGGAUGCUCCUGCUAACUAGGUGCAAGCAGCCGCGGUAAUACGGAGGGAGCGAGUGGUGUCCGUAUUUACUGGGUGUAUAGGGAGCGUAGGGGGGGAUGAAAGUUGGGUGUAAACACUACCGGUUAACCUGGUAGUCGCACUCAAAACUGCAGCUUUUGAGUGAAGUAGAGGCAAGCGGAAUUCCUGGUGUAGCGGUGAAAUGCGUAGAUAUUAGGAGGAACACCAGUGGCGAAGGCGGCCUGCUGGGCUUUUACUGACGCUGAGGCUCGAAAGUGUGGGGAGCAAACAGGAUUAGAUACCCGAGUAGUC
rnacentral:rRNA from 1 species